rnacentral:misc_RNA from 1 species
AACGCACCUUGCGCCCUUUGGUAUUCCGAAGGGCAUGCCUGUUCGAGUGUCUUGAAUUCAUCGUGGCCCGAGGUUUUCGAACCUGCGGACCCGCGGAAGUGGGGGCCUGCCGCUGUGAAGCGGCUCCCCUCAAAUGCAUCGGUGGGGUCUCCGGACAUCCCGGGCGUUGUAUCUACCCUCGUCCUGACAGUGAUGCCGACCAAGCCCCCGCCUCGACCGUCCGCGCGAGCGGCGGUCAGACAUGCUUUGAAAUCUGACCUCGAAUCAGGUAGGACUACCCGCUGAACUUAA